GGGUGCUGCCAUGGUGCUGUGGCUACUUGAACGCUGCAAAUUCUCCUGUAGAGGGAGGACAAGAGCUUGGUUUAAAAAGAUUCCUAUUCCAAAUAUUGGAAACAAAUGAGAAACAACCCUGCAAACAGAAUUUUAGGCCGACAGCAUUAAUUCCAUGGAAUGUCUUGCUCUAUGAAGAGAACCAAGAAGAAUGAUCAACAGUCUGCAUGAAGAGGGGGAAGAAAAGGCAUCUACAGGACCUGCCUGGUAGGAACAGCUGAUACGGCUGAUCUAAGGGCACUUGAAAGGAGGGAGAGAGCAGAGGUCUCUAUGCAUCAUAGGAAAUGAGAAGGAAGUACACCCAAGGUCUAAAAGUAAGGGCGGCUGGCACAGGGGGCUGUGACAUUCCUCAAGCUCUGUGUGUCUUGAUAGACUGUGGUGGUAGGUUUAAGUUGUAACAACAAAAGAAUAAAAAAUUCAUGAUGGA